rnacentral:other from 1 species
GAAAUCCUGCUGUGUUCGAUCAAGUGCAGUUUUUUAUGAUCCAACACUUACGAAUCGGGAGUACAUCUCCGCUGACGGAUUGCAGACCUCCCGCCCUUGGGCGGACGAAGGGAGCGUGAAAGCAGUGGGUUGUGCGUACCCACCCUGUCACACGACGGGUUUUAAUCGCUGUGCGACGGCAUGGUGGGAUUUCU